rnacentral:sRNA from 1 species
ACCUUAAGACCCACUGGAUCGGGUACCCUCGGUCCUAGGAUCCAGGGGCCAGUGGGCAAAGGCCUGGCAUGCCUUCUUCAAUCUCCUCCAUCUUCCCAGAACUGGACUCAGAGGAUGCCCCGCCAUGCUGCCGUCUGGCCUUGGGAGAGCCCCCUCCCUAUGGCGCUGCACCUAUCGGUAUUCCCCGACCUCCACCCCCUCGGCCUGGCAUGCAUUCGCCACCGCCGCGCCCAGCCCCCUCACCUGGCACCUGGGAGAGCCAGCCCGCCAGGUCGGUGAGGCUGGGAGGACCAGGAGGGGGUGCUGGGGGUGCUGGGGGUGGCCGUGUUCUCGAGUGUCCCAGCAUCCGCAUCACCUCCAUCUCUCCCACGCCGGAGCCGCCAGCAGCGCUGGAGGACAACCCUGAUGCCUGGGGGGACGGCUCUCCUAGAGAUUACCCCCCACCAGAAGGCUUUGGGGGCUACAGAGAAGCAGGGGGCCAGGGUGGGGGGGCCUUCUUCAGCCCAAGCCCUGGCAGCAGCAGCCUGUCCUCGUGGAGCUUCUUCUCCGAUGCCUCUGACGAGGCAGCCCUGUAUGCAGCCUGCGACGAGGUGGAGUCUGAGCUAAAUGAGGCGGCCUCCCGCUUUGGCCUGGGCUCCCCGCUGCCCUCGCCCCGGGCCUCCCCUCGGCCAUGGACCCCCGAAGAUCCCUGGAGCCUGUAUGGUCCAAGCCCCGGAGGCCGAGGGCCAGAGGAUAGCUGGCUACUCCUCAGUGCUCCUGGGCCCACCCCAGCCUCCCCGCGGCCUGCCUCUCCAUGUGGCAAGCGGCGCUAUUCCAGCUCGGGAACCCCAUCUUCAGCCUCCCCAGCUCUGUCCCGCCGUGGCAGCCUGGGGGAAGAGGGGUCUGAGCCACCUCCACCACCCCCAUUGCCUCUGGCCCGGGACCCGAGCUCCCCUGGUCCCUUUGACUAUGUGGGGGCCCCACCAGCUGAGAGCAUCCCUCAGAAGACACGGCGGACUUCCAGCGAGCAGGCAGUGGCUCUGCCUCGGUCUGAGGAGCCUGCCUCAUGCAAUGGGAAGCUGCCCUUGGGAGCAGAGGAGUCUGUGGCUCCUCCAGGAGGUUCCCGGAAGGAGGUGGCUGGCAUGGACUACCUGGCAGUGCCCUCCCCACUCGCUUGGUCCAAGGCCCGGAUUGGGGGACACAGCCCUAUCUUCAGGACCUCUGCCCUACCCCCACUGGACUGGCCUCUGCCCAGCCAAUAUGAGCAGCUGGAACUGAGGAUCGAGGUACAGCCUAGAGCCCACCACCGGGCCCACUAUGAGACAGAAGGCAGCCGUGGAGCUGUCAAAGCUGCCCCUGGCGGUCACCCCGUAGUCAAGCUCCUAGGCUACAGUGAGAAGCCACUGACCCUACAGAUGUUCAUCGGCACUGCAGAUGAAAGGAACCUGCGGCCUCAUGCCUUCUAUCAGGUGCACCGUAUCACAGGCAAGAUGGUGGCCACGGCCAGCUAUGAAGCUGUAGUCAGUGGCACCAAGGUGUUGGAGAUGACUCUGCUGCCUGAGAACAACAUGGCGGCCAACAUUGACUGCGCGGGAAUCCUGAAGCUUCGGAAUUCAGACAUUGAGCUUCGGAAGGGUGAGACGGACAUCGGGCGCAAAAACACACGUGUACGGCUGGUGUUCCGGGUACACGUGCCCCAGGGCGGCGGGAAGGUCGUCUCAGUACAGGCAGCAUCGGUGCCCAUCGAGUGCUGUGAGCAAAGAGGCCCUGGGCCAUCUCUCUGUCUCUUGCAACUCUUUUGUCUGUGUGUGUGUGUCUGUCUGCCCAUUCCCUCUGCAGCGUCCUGUGCCCUGUCUGUCCUGGGUAGCUCUAUAGAGGACUCAGCUUCUUUCUAUUGUAGUUUGCCCCUGCCACAGACUCUUUCUCUGGGGUGGCCCAGAGUGACACUGGACCCUAUCUAUUCCUGGGGUGCCCUGUGCCCUUGUUUGGGAAACUCCCUGGUCUACCCUGUUUAACCCUCUCUCUGCUCUGGGAGUGGCCCCUUACAUGGUGUGUGUGACUCCAUGGAUAUUACUGGUUUAUUUGUGUGUCUACUGCUGAGGAGGGCUCCCUCAGAGCCCUGUGGCAGUUUUCCCAAAGAGGGUGGGGACAGAGGAGGCCACCCCUCCAUGCCCAGCCCAGCCAGUCCUCUUCCUUGCACUGCUCUGCAGCCCAGCGCUCAGCCCAGGAGCUGCCCCAGGUGGAGGCCUACAGCCCCAGUGCCUGCUCUGUGAGAGGAGGCGAGGAACUGGUACUGACUGGCUCCAACUUCCUGCCAGACUCUAAGGUGGUGUUCAUUGAGAGGGGUCCUGAUGGGAAGCUGCAAUGGGAGGAGGAGGCCACGGUGAACCGACUGCAGAGCAACGAGGUGACGCUGACCCUGACUGUCCCCGAGUACAGCA